GCGGUUCCGGUUCACGAGCCCGCAGCCCGCGGCGCACGACCCGGCGACC
rnacentral:ncRNA from 1 species